rnacentral:rRNA from 1 species
GGGUUGUGAGGUUAAGCGACUAAGCGUACACGGUGGAUGCCCUGGCAGUCAGAGGCGAUGAAGGACGUGCUAAUCUGCGAUAAGCGUCGGUAAGGUGAUAUGAACCGUUAUAACCGGCGAUUUCCGAAUGGGGAAACCCAGUGUGUUUCGACACACUAUCAUUAACUGAAUCCAUAGGUUAAUGAGGCGAACCGGGGGAACUGAAACAUCUAAGUACCCCGAGGAAAAGAAAUCAACCGAGAUUCCCCCAGUAGCGGCGAGCGAACGGGGAGCAGCCCAGAGCCUGAAUCAGUGUGUGUGUUAGUGGAAGCGUCUGGAAAGGCGCGCGAUACAGGGUGACAGCCCCGUACACAAAAAUGCACAUGCUGUGAGCUCGAUGAGUAGGGCGGGACACGUGGUAUCCUGUCUGAAUAUGGGGGGACCAUCCUCCAAGGCUAAAUACUCCUGACUGACCGAUAGUGAACCAGUACCGUGAGGGAAAGGCGAAAAGAACCCCGGCGAGGGGAGUGAAAAAGAACCUGAAACCGUGUACGUACAAGCAGUGGGAGCACGCUUAGGCGUGUGACUGCGUACCUUUUGUAUAAUGGGUCAGCGACUUAUAUUCUGUAGCAAGGUUAACCGAAUAGGGGAGCCGAAGGGAAACCGAGUCUUAACUGGGCGUUAAGUUGCAGGGUAUAGACCCGAAACCCGGUGAUCUAGCCAUGGGCAGGUUGAAGGUUGGGUAACACUAACUGGAGGACCGAACCGACUAAUGUUGAAAAAUUAGCGGAUGACUUGUGGCUGGGGGUGAAAGGCCAAUCAAACCGGGAGAUAGCUGGUUCUCCCCGAAAGCUAUUUAGGUAGCGCCUCGUGAAUUCAUCUCCGGGGGUAGAGCACUGUUUCGGCAAGGGGUCAUCCCGACUUACCAACCCGAUGCAAACUGCGAAUACCGGAGAAUGUUAUCACGGGAGACACACGGCGGGUGCUAACGUCCGUCGUGAAGAGGGAAACAACCCAGACCGCCAGCUAAGGUCCCAAAGUCAUGGUUAAGUGGGAAACGAUGUGGGAAGGCCCAGACAGCCGGAUGUUGGCUUAGAAGCAGCCAUCAUUUAAAGAAAGCGUAAUAGCUCACUGGUCGAGUCGGCCUGCGCGGAAGAUGUAACGGGGCUAAACCAUGCACCGAAGCUGCGGCAGCGACGCUUAUGCGUUGUUGGGUAGGGGAGCGUUCUGUAAGCCUGCGAAGGUGUGCUGUGAGGCAUGCUGGAGGUAUCAGAAGUGCGAAUGCUGACAUAAGUAACGAUAAAGCGGGUGAAAAGCCCGCUCGCCGGAAGACCAAGGGUUCCUGUCCAACGUUAAUCGGGGCAGGGUGAGUCGACCCCUAAGGCGAGGCCGAAAGGCGUAGUCGAUGGGAAACAGGUUAAUAUUCCUGUACUUGGUGUUACUGCGAAGGGGGACGGAGAAGGCUAUGUUGGCCGGGCGACGGUUGUCCCGGUUUAAGCGUGUAGGCUGGUUUUCCGGGCAAAUCCGGAAAAUCAAGGCUGAGGCGUGAUGACGAGGCACUACGGUGCUGAAGCAACAAAUGCCCUGCUUCCGGGGAAAGCCUCUAAGCAUCAGGUAACAUCAAAUCGUACCCCAAACCGACACAGGUGGUCAGGUAGAGAAUACCAAGGCGCUUGAGAGAACUCGGGUGAAGGAACUAGGCAAAAUGGUGCCGUAACUUCGGGAGAAGGCACGCUGAUAUGUAGGUGAAGUCCCUCGCGGAUGGAGCUGAAAUCAGUCGAAGAUACCAGCUGGCUGCAACUGUUUAUUAAAAACACAGCACUGUGCAAACACGAAAGUGGACGUAUACGGUGUGACGCCUGCCCGGUGCCGGAAGGUUAAUUGAUGGGGUUAGCCGCAAGGCGAAGCUCUUGAUCGAAGCCCCGGUAAACGGCGGCCGUAACUAUAACGGUCCUAAGGUAGCGAAAUUCCUUGUCGGGUAAGUUCCGACCUGCACGAAUGGCGUAAUGAUGGCCGAGGCUGUCUCCACCCGAGACUCAGUGAAAUUGAACUCGCUGUGAAGAUGCAGUGUACCCGCGGCAAGACGGAAAGACCCCGUGAACCUUUACUAUAGCUUGACACUGAACAUUGAGCCUUGAUGUGUAGGAUAGGUGGGAGGCUUUGAAGUGUGGACGCCAGUCUGCAUGGAGCCGACCUUGAAAUACCACCCUUUAAUGUUUGAUGUUCUAACGUUGACCCGUAAUCCGGGUUGCGGACAGUGUCUGGUGGGUAGUUUGACUGGGGCGGUCUCCUCCUAAAGAGUAACGGAGGAGCACGAAGGUUGGCUAAUCUGGUCGGACAUCAGGAGGUUAGUGCAAUGGCAUAAGCCAGCUUGACUGCGAGCGUGACGGCGCGAGCAGGUGCGAAAGCAGGUCAUAGUGAUCCGGUGGUUCUGAAUGGAAGGGCCAUCGCUCAACGGAUAAAAGGUACUCCGGGGAUAACAGGCUGAUACCGCCCAAGAGUUCAUAUCGACGGCGGUGUUUGGCACCUCGAUGUCGGCUCAUCACAUCCUGGGGCUGAAGUAGGUCCCAAGGGUAUGGCUGUUCGCCAUUUAAAGUGGUACGCGAGCUGGGUUUAGAACGUCGUGAGACAGUUCGGUCCCUAUCUGCCGUGGGCGCUGGAGAACUGAGGGGGCUGCUCCUAGUACGAGAGGACCGGAGUGGACGCAUCACUGGUGUUCGGGUUGUCAUGCCAAUGGCACUGCCCGGUAGCUAAAUGCGGAAGAGAUAAGUGCUGAAAGCAUCUAAGCACGAAACUUGCCCCGAGAUGAGUUCUCCCUGACUCCUUGAGAGUCCUGAAGGAACGUUGAAGACGACGACGUUGAUAGGCCGGGUGUGUAAGCGCAGCGAUGCGUUGAGCUAACCGGUACUAAUGAACCGUGAGGCUUAACCUUACAACGCCGAAGCUGUU